UGGCUGGCCAUGAAAUGUGUGGAAAUGGUUUUGCUGUGCAUGGAGAAGACUCCACCCAGAUCAGAAGCAGAAGAGCAGGAGACUGGGUGUACACACUCUCUGUGAAGGGGAAAGAGCUGCUGGGAUGCCCUGUAUGCAAGAGGGAGAAGUCUUCAGUGCACGUGGGCACCGUGUCAGCCCUUUGGGCUUGAGGAGGCAAAGUAGGACAGUCAUAUCACGCUGCACCAGAUAACAAUGCAAACAAAGGCUACUUGAGAACAUGCAGCCAAAUAAACACGGGCAAGUCAUGAGUUGUGAACUGAGCUGCAGCAUCUCUCUCUGAUAUUUAGAGAUUUCUGGAAAAUUCUGCCAGAAGUAACAGCGAUCCCUUGGAAGCAGGGACACAAGCUCCUGGCCAUGGCCCACCACGACCAUCAUUAGAGCUCUGAGCUGCAAGGAUUACACAGGAUUGUGCCUCUAAUCAUAUAGAUGGAUCACAAGGGAGAUUUCCAGCAGUAGGAGAAGUGCCUUCUCUCACAGGUGGAGCUGAGCUGAACAUCCCUCAUGCACGGAUGAUCCUGUAGCUGCGGCAGCAUGGACGUUGGCUCAGGACAGCCAGCUGAGGGCUGUCCGGGCUUGUUCCCUGCCUGCUCUAAAAUGGGGCUGCUGGAAACUGCACUGUUAUUAAUCAUGGAAAGCAUUAGUUUAAAGGGUACAGUGAGUUCUCUCUCAUCCACCAACACAGAUGGAGCAGCUCUGCUAGCUGCCCUGGCCCAAAGUAAUGUAUGCAAUAAGCUGGGUUUAACAACUGCAAGUGAGGAGGGCCAGAACAAGAGGCCAUCACCUCACUCUCAAAUGCUCUACAGACCAUUGGAGCCCAGAACCUGAUACUGGAGAGCUGUUGAUCUCAGUCUACUUUCUGCAGGAGUCUGGAGUGAUGUUUUCUAUUAUUCAGAACAAAAAGAGUAGAUGAAUGCAAUCAGCAAAAGAAGAUUGACCUAGCAGUUCAUUCCUGCGACCUUUUUCCAUCAUCCAUAAUGAAAAUUAAACACAGAGUUUCAGAAAAUACCCAGAAAUGUAAAUUUUUACUGGCUACUUCUCGGUACUUCAAAAAAUGUUAGCCUGGGUUGCAAUGAUUUUGUUAG